rnacentral:lncRNA from 1 species
UGUUAGUAUUUGCCUUAUGUAUUGAGGUGCUCCUAUGUUGGGUGCAUAAAUAUUUACAAUUGUUAUAUCUUCUUCUUGGAUCGAUCCCUUGAUCAUUAUGUAGUGUCCUUCUUUGUUUCUUCUAAUAGUCUUUAUCUUAAAGUCUAUUUUGUCUGAUAUGAGAAUUGCUACUCAAGCUUUCUUUUGGUUUCCAUUUGCAUGAAAUAUCUUUUUCCAUCCCCUCACUUUGAGUCUGUAUGUGUCUCUAGGUCUGAAGUGGGUCUCUUGUAGACAGCAAAUACAUGGGUCUUGUUUUUGUAUACAUUCAUUCGAUCUGUGUCUUUGGCCGGAGCAUUUAGUCCAUUUAUAUUAAGGUAAUUAUCAAUAUGUAUGUUCCUAUUCCCAUCUUCUUAAUUGUUUUGGGUUCAUUAUUGUAGGUUUUUUCCUUCUCUUGUGUUUCUUGCCUAGAGAAGUUCCUUUAGCAGUUGUUGUAGAGCUGGUUUGGUGGUGCUGAACUCUCAGGUUUUGCUUGUCUGUAAAGGUUUUAAUUUCUCCAUCAAAUCUGAAUGAGAUCCUUGCUGGGUAGAGUAAUCUUGGUUGCAGGUUUUUCUCCUUCAUCACUUUAAAUAUGUCCUGCCACUCCCUUCUUGCUUGCAGAGUUUCUGCUGAGAGAUCAGCUGUUAACCUUAUGAGGAUUCCCUUGUGUGUUAUUUUUCCCUUGCUGCUUUUAAUAUGCUUUCUUUGUAUUUAAUUUUUGACAGUGUGAUUAAUAUGUGUCUUGGCAUGUAUCUCCUUGGAUUUAUCCUGUAUGGGACUCUCUGUGCUUCCUGGACUUGAUUAACUAUUUCCUUUCCCAUAUUAGGGAAGUUUUCAACUAUAAUCUCUUCAAAUAUUUUCUCAGUCCCUUUCUUUUUCUCUUCUUCUUCUGGAACCCCUGUAAUUCGAAUGUUGGUGCAUUUAAUGUUGUCCCAGAGGUCUCUGAGACUGUCCUCAGUUCUUUUCAUCCUUUUUUCUUUAUUCUGCUCUGCAGUAGUUUUUCCACUAUCUUUCAGGUCACUUAUCCGUUCUUCUGCCUCAGUUAUCCUGCUAUUGAUCCCAUCUAGAGUAUUUUUCAUUUCAUUUAUUGUGCUGUUCAUCGUUGUUUGUUUCAUCUUUAGUUCUUCUAGGUCCUUGUUAAAUGUUUCUUGCAUUUUGUCUAUUUUAUUUCCAAGAUUUUGGAUCAUCUUUACUAUCAUUAUUCUGAAUUCUUUUUCAGGUAGACUGCCUAUUUCCUCUUCAUUUGUUAGGUCUGGUGGGUUUUUAUCUUGCUCCUUCAUCUGCGGUGUGUUUUUCUGUCUUCUCAUUUUGCUUAUCUUACUGUGUUUGGGGUCUCCUUUUUGCAGGCUUUAGGUUCAUAGUUCCUGUUGUUUUUGGUGUGUGUCUCCAUGACUAAGGUUGGUUCAGUGGGUUGUGUAGGCUUCCUGGUGGAGGGGACUGGUUCCUGUGUUCUGGUGGAUGAGGCUGGAUCUUGUCUUUCUGGUGGGCAGGACGAUGUCUGGUGGUGUGUUUUGGGGUGUCUGUGGACUUAUUAUGAUUUGGGGCAGUCUUUCUGCUAAUGGGUGGGGUUGUGUUCCUGUCUUGCUAGUUGUUUGGCGUAGGAUGUCCAGCACUGUAGCUUGAUGGUCGUUGAGUGAAGCUGGGUGCUGGUGUAGAGAUGGAGAUCUCUGGGAGAUUUUCGCCGUUUGAUAUUAUGUGGAGCUGGGAGGUUUCUUGUUGACCAGUGUCCUGAAGUUGGCUCUCCCACCUCAGAGGUACAGCACUGACUCCCGGCUGCAGCACUAAGAGCCUUUCAUCCACACGGCUCAGAAGAAAAGGGAGAAAAAGUAGAAAGAAAGAAUUAGUAG